UAAGACGAACCGUGCGAACGUUAUUCGGAAUCACUGGGCCUAAAGCGCGUGUAGGCGGGCCGGCACGUCCGACGCUGAAAUCCCCCGGCUCAACCGGGGAAGGGGCGCGGAUACGACCGGCCUGGAGGGGGGUAGGGGGAGCGGGAACUGCCGGUGGAGCGGUGAAAUGCGUUGAGAUCGGCAGGAACGCCCGCGGCGAAAGCGCGCUCCUGGACCCCACCUGACGCUGAGACGCGAAAGCCAGGGGAGCGAACGGGAUUAGAUACCCCGGUAGUCCUGGCCGUAAACCAUGGGCACUGGGUAGGGGACUCGCCGAUGGGUUCCCUGCCGCAGCGAAGGCGUGAAGUGCCCCGCCUGGGGAGUAUGGUCGCAAGGCUG
rnacentral:rRNA from 1 species